UACGUAGGGUGCAAGCGUUGUCCGGAAUUAUUGGGCGUAAAGAGCGUGUAGGCGGCUCGGUAAGUCCGCUCUGAAAGCCCGGGGCUCAACCCCGGGAGGCGGGCGGAUACUGUCGGGCUAGAGUCCGGAAGAGGCGAGUGGAAUUCCUGGUGUAGCGGUGAAAUGCGCAGAUAUCAGGAGGAACACCAAUGGCGAAGGCAGCUCGCUGGGACGGUACUGACGCUGAGACGCGAAAGCGUGGGGAGC
rnacentral:rRNA from 1 species